ensembl:snoRNA
CCGAUACAAUGAUGACAGCAUAGUUCAGCAGAUUAACCAUGAAGAACACUCAGCAUUGUCUUUCGCUCCUAUCUGAUGUAUUGG